rnacentral:rRNA from 1 species
AUUGAACGCUGGCGGCAGGCCUAACACAUGCAAGUCGGGCGCGCGGCGGACGGGUGUAUAAUGUAUGGAGAUCCGCCUGAGGGAGGGAGAUAACCACUAAAAACUGUAGCUAAUCCCGCAUAACAUCAGAUGAACACAUAUGGGAUUAGCUUGUAGGUGAGGUAACGGCUCACCUAGGCGACGAUCACUAGCUGGUCUGAGAGGAUGAUCAGCCACACUGGGACUGAGACACGGCCCAGACUCCUACGGGAGGCAGCAGUGGGGAAUAUUGCACAAUGGGCGCAAGCCUGAUGCAGCCAUGCCGCGUGUAUGAAGAAGGCCUUCGGGUUGUAAAGUACUUUCAGUCGGGAGGCGUUACCGACAGAAGAAGCACCGGCUAACUCCGUGCCAGCAGCCGCGGUAAUAC